GAGUUUGAUCCUGGCUCAGGAUGAACGCUGGCGGCGUGCCUAACACAUGCAAGUCGAGCGGGAAGGGAAGAGACGGAGGUUUCGGCCAAAGUUUCUUUCCGGAUAGCGGCGGACGGGUGAGUAACGCGUGGGUAACCUGCCUUCUACAGAGGGAUAGCCACUGGAAACGGUGAUUAAUACCUCAUGACACUGCCGGGGCGCAUGCUCUGACAGUCAAAGAUUUUAUCGGUAGAAGAUGGACCCGCGUCUGAUUAGCUGGUUGGUGAGGUAACGGCUCACCAAGGCGACGAUCAGUAGCCGGCCUGAGAGGGUGAACGGCCACACUGGAACUGAGACACGGUCCAGACUCCUACGGGAGGCAGCAGUGGGGAAUAUUCGGCAAUGGGGGGAACCCUGACCGAGCAACGCCGCGUGAAUGAUGAAGGCCUUCGG
rnacentral:rRNA from 1 species